GCAUGCCUAACACAUGCAAGUCGAACGGAGAUUACCUUUUUAAUCUUAGUGGCGAACGGGUGAGUAACGCGUGGGCAACCUGCCCUCUACAUGGGGACAACAUCCCGAAAGGGGUGCUAAUACCGAAUGAGACAGCCAUCACGCAUGAGGAUGCUGUGAAAGAUGGCCUCUAUUUAUAAGCUAUCGCUAGAAGAUGGACCUGCUUCUGAUUAUCUAGUUGGUGGGGUAACGGCCUACCAACGCCAUGAUCAAUAGCCGGUCAGAGAAGAGGAACGGCCACAUUGGGACUGACACACGGCCCACUACUCCUACGGGAGGCAGCAGUGGGGAAUCUUCCGCAAUGGGAGAAAGCCUGACGGAGCAAUGCCGCGUGAGAUGAUGAGGGAAUUCGUUCCGUACAGCUCUUUUGUUUAUGACGAAUGUGCAGAUUGUGAACAAUGAUCUGUAAUGACGGUAGUAAAGAAAUAAUACCACGGCUAACUACGUGCCAGCAGCCGCGGAAAUACGUAGGUGGCGAGCGUUGUCCGGAAUUAUUGGGCGUAAAGAGCAUGUAUGCGGUUUUUUAAGUCUGGAGUGAAAAUGCGGGGCUCAACCCCGUAUGGCUCUGGAUACUGGAAGACUUGAGAGCAAGAGAGGAAACGGGAAUUCCCAGUGUAGCUGCUGAAAUGCUUAGAUAUAGUGACGAACACCAGUGGCGAAGGCUCCUCUCUGGACUGUGUCUGACUCUGAGAUGCGAAAGCCAGGGUAGCAAACGGGAUUAGAUACCCCGGUAGUCCUGGCCAUAAACGAUGGUGACUAGGUGUAAGCAGCAUCGACCCCUUCUGAGCCGGAGUUAACGCAAUAAGUACCCCGCGUGGGGAGUACGUCCGCAAGAGAUGAAACUCAAAGGAAUUGACGGGGGCCAGCACAAGCGGUGGAGUAUGUGGUAUAAUUCGACGCAACGAGAAGAACCUUACCAAGGCUUGACAUUGAAUGACCGAUUCAGAGAUGGAGCUUUCCGAUUACGGGGACAUGAAAACAGGUGGUGCAUGGCUGUCGUCAGCUCGUGUCGUGAGAUGUUGGGUUAAGUCCCGCAACGAGCGCAACCCAUAUCCUAUGUUACCAUCGGGUAAUGCCGGGGACUCAUAGGAGAUUGCCAAGGACAACUUGGAGGAAGGCGGGGAAGACGUCAAGUCAUCAUGCCCCUUAUGUCUCGGGAUACACACGUAUUACAAUGGUCGGCAACAGAGGGAAGAGAAGCCGUGAGGCAGAGCAAACCCCAGAAAUCCGAUAUCAGUUUGGAUUGUAGGAUGCAACUCGCCUGCAUGAAUUCGGAAUCGCUAGUAAUCGCAGGUCAGCAUAUUGCGGUGAAUACGUUGCCGGGCUUUGUACACACCGCCCGUCACACCAGGAAAGUCGGUAACACCGGAAGCCGGUGGGGUAACUGUAAGGAGCCAGCCGUCUAAGGUGGGGCCGAUGAUUG
rnacentral:rRNA from 1 species